UAGGGAAUCUUCCGCAAUGGACGCAAGUCUGACGGAGCAACGCCGCGUGAGUGAAGAAGGAUUUCGGUUCGUAAAACUCUGUUGUUAGAGAAGAACAGCGCAUAGAGUAACUGUUAUGCGUGUGACGGUAUCUAACCAGAAAGCCACGGCUAACUACGUGGCAGCAGCAGCGGUAAUACGUAGGUGGCAAGCGUUGUCCGGAUUUAUUGGGCGUAAAGCGAGCGCAGGCGGUCAAUUAAGUCUGAUGUGAAAGCCCCCGGCUCAACCGGGGAGGGUCAUUUGAAACUUGUUGACUUGAGUGCAGAAGAGGAGAGUGGAAAUCCCUGUGUAGCGGUGAAAUGCGUAGAUAUAUGGAGGAACACCAGUGGCGAAGGCGACUCUCUGGUCUGUAACUGACGCUGAGGCUCGAAAGCGUGGGUAGCAAACAGG
rnacentral:rRNA from 1 species